rnacentral:rRNA from 1 species
UACGUUCCCGGGCCUUGUACACACCGCCCGUCAAGUCAUGAAAGUCGGUAACACCCGAAGCCGGUGGCCUAACCGUAAGGAAGGAGCCGUCGAAGGUGGGAUUGGUGAUUAGGACU